GAACGCUCACCGGGGUUUCGGCUCUGGUGGGAGUGGCGCACGGGUGAGUAGCGCGUGGGAACCUGCCCUUUUGUGGGGGAUAACCGAGGGAAACCUCGGCUAAUACCGCAUGCGCCCCUGGGGCGACCUGGGGGGAAAGAUUUAUCGCUCGAGGAGGGGCCCGCGUCGGAUUAGCUAGUUGGUGGGGUAACGGCCUACCAAGGCGAUGAUCCGUAGCUGGUCUGAGAGGAUGAUCAGCCACACUGGGACUGAGACACGGCCCAGACUCCUACGGGAGGCAGCAGUAGGGAAUAUUGGACAAUGGGGGCAACCCUGAUCCAGCAAUGCCGCGUGAGUGAUGAAGGCCUUAGGGUUGUAAAGCUCUUUCGCACGCGACGAUGAUGACGGUAGCGUGAGAAGAAGCCCCGGCUAACUUCGUG
rnacentral:rRNA from 1 species